rnacentral:tRNA from 1 species
GCCGGCGUAGCUCAAUGGCAGAGCAGCUGAUUUGUAAUCAGCAGGUUGCGGGUUCAAGUCCCAUCGCCGGCUCCA